AUGAAUGAAAUGUUAUUAGCCCAGUGUACCCAUGAUGAUGUACGUAAGGUUGUGCAUAGUAUAGGAGAUCUCAAGGCGCUUGGCCCUGAUGGUCUCCAUGCUAUAUUUUGUAAGAAGUUCUGGCAUAUUAUUGGUGAUGAGGUUUCCCAGGAGGUGUUGUUUGCGAUCAAUACAAGGCAGAUCCCGGUAGAGUGGAAUGAUACGUCCGUUGUACUCAUUCCCAAGGUAGACUCACCUGAACAAAUUACACAACAUAGACCUAUCAGUCUAUGUAAUGUGUUGUAAAAAAUUAUCUCAAAGAUGUUGGCUGCUAGACUGGAAGGUAUUCUACUUGAUAUUAUCUCCCCCACUCAAAGUGCAUUUGUUCCGGGACGUUUAAUUACUGAUAAUGUACUAAUAGCAUAUGAGUGUGUCCAUAAGAUAAAAACUGAAAGAGAAGGUUGCAGGGGGCUAUGUGCAGUGAAAUUGGAUAUGCAUACGGCCUAUGACCGGGUUGACUGGAUAUUCUUGAGAGCUAUGAUGGAAAAACUUGGUUUUGAUACUGGUUGGAUAGACAUGAUAAUGGCCUGUGUAUCUUCUGUUAGAUAUAAGGUCAGAUUCAACUCCCAGGAGACACUGAGAUUUACCCCUACUAGGGGGAUUCGGCAAGGGGACUCCCUCUCCCCUUAUUUGUUCCUUAUUUGUGCGGAACGGUUGUCCAGUAUGUUGACGUUUGAAGAAGAAGUUGGUGGCAUAGAUGGGAUUAGAGUGUGCAGAAAUGCACCGUCAGUUUCACAACUUUUAUUUGCUGACGAUUCUCUAUUUCUCAUGAGAGCAGAUGCGAUGAAUGCAAUUUCCUUACAAAACGUACUGGAUACCUAUUGUGCAAGUUCAGGACAAAUGGUGAGUUUGGCCAAGUCUAGCAUUUUCUUCGGUCCCAACACCUCAGUUGUUUCAAAAGCAGAAAUUAGUCAAAUUCUUCAUAUUGACACAGAAGCAUUAUCUGACAAUUAUCUUGGGUUGCGAGCAAUUGUGGGAGCUGACAAAAGUGACUGUUUCAGACAUUUCGUUGAUAGAAUUAAAGCAAGAUCGAUAGGUUGGAUGGAGAAACAACUAUCAAUUGGAGGUAAAGAGAUUUUAUUAAAGUCUGUGGCACAGGCCAUUCCAGUUUUUGCCAUGUCAGUUCUUAGUCUUCCGAAAGGAAUUUGCAAAGAAAUCACAGAUAUUUUUUGCACAAUUUGGGUGGGGUGA
rnacentral:rRNA from 1 species